UUCCAUGGAGGGCUGAGUGUCUGUGAGUUUUUGGUUUUUCCUUUCAAUUUAAGACCUAGACCAAGAGGAGAGCACUUUACUAAUGAGUGACCUUAAUUCAAUCAAUCAAGGAAGGAGCAAAAACCCAGACACGUGACUUACAGCUUAAAAUCAUGUCUUAUUGGAGUGCGAAGGGGGCUGGGACAGAAAGGGGUAUUGGCUUGGCCUAUUCUGAAAUGAAGGGAACCAUUUUUGAUACGGUCAUGUCAAGGGCACAAUGUGACACCGACUGCAACCUACAGCUCCCCAGCAGAACGACUGCCCUCCUUUGUCCCGGAGCGUUUCCUCUUGACGUGGUAUUUACUUUACUCAGGCACAUAAAAGAGGUGAACGUUCCCUGGCCGUCAGUGACUGGAAGGAGACCACUUCAAAUACAAUGCUCCUCUGGGACCUCAUCCCUUCCCGAACCAGCCGGGCAUCAGCGAAUGAAAACAGAUGGAUUCAUGAGGGCAGAAUCUGGGUCACUGUCUUUUUUCCCCUCCAACCUGGUAGGUUCCAAAACCGCAAGCCCACAUGCAUGAAAUAUCUAUUAAUCUAAGCAUUGUGUGUGUGUGUGUGUGUGUGUGUGUGUGUGUGUGUGUGUGUGUGUGUGUGUGUGUGUGUGUGUGUGUGUGUGUGUGUGUGUGUGUGUGUGUGUGUGUGUGUGUGUGUGUGUGUGUCUUUGGAAAUCUGGAAUAGUGACAAUGAGUACAAUG